rnacentral:rRNA from 1 species
UACGUAGGUCCCGAGCGUUGUCCGGAUUUAUUGGGCGUAAAGCGAGCGCAGGCGGUUAGAUAAGUCUGAAGUUAAAGGCUGUGGCUCAACCAUAGUACGCUUUGGAAACUGUUUAACUUGAGUGCAAGAGGGGAGAGUGGAAUUCCAUGUGUAGCGGUGAAAUGCGUAGAUAUAUGGAGGAACACCGGUGGCGAAAGCGGCUCUCUGGCUUGUAACUGACGCUGAGGCUCGAAAGCGUGGGGAGCAAACAGGAUUAGAUACCCUGGUAGUC